rnacentral:lncRNA from 1 species
GGGUCGGGGGUGUGACAAACUCUUUGCAUGUUUAGAUUUUAUUCUGUUCGAUAUCUAUAAGGUGAUUCUAGGGUUUGAGUUUCGAUUCGACAGUUUUAAUUAUUAAAGCUUUCGAUUUGUAUGUCAAAAUUUUUUUAAAAUUUAUAUUCCACUAUGUGGUUAAAAUUUAAUAGUGGUAUCAGAGCCACCCUUGUUAGAUUUAAUCAAACAAGUACAAAAGUUGUAAUAUAGAUUUGAUCUAAUUCAUAUUUUGCCAAAAUGCUAUAUCGAUUUCUAGC